rnacentral:tRNA from 1 species
GGGUCGGCUCACCUAUUGGCGUGGGUAACUGUCUGUAAAACAGCCGCGUUCGCGUUGCUGGUUCAAUUCCAGCCCGGCCUACCA